UGGGGAAUUUUGGACAAUGGGCGCAAGCCUGAUCCAGCCAUGCCGCGUGCGGGAAGAAGGCCUUCGGGUUGUAAACCGCUUUUGUCAGGGAAGAAAUCUUCUGAGUUAAUACCUCGGGAGGAUGACGGUACCUGAAGAAUAAGCACCGGCUAACUACGUGCCAGCAGCCGCGGUAAUACGUAGGGUGCAAGCGUUAAUCGGAAUUACUGGGCGUAAAGCGUGCGCAGGCGGUUUUGUAAGACAGAGGUGAAAUCCCCGGGCUCAACCUGGGAACUGCCUUUGUGACUGCAAGGCUUGAGUGCGGCAGAGGGGGGAUGGAAUUCCGCGUGUAGCAGUGAAAUGCGUAGAUAUGCGGAGGAACACCGAUGGCGAAGGCAAUCCCCUGGGCCUGCACUGACGCUCAUGCACGAAAGCGUGGGGAGCAAACAGGAUUAGAUACCCUGGUAGUCCACGCCCUAGACGAUGUCAACUGGUUGUUGGGAAGGUUCCUUCUCAGUAACGUAGCUAACGCGUGAAGUUGACCGCCUGGGGAGUACGGCCGCAAGGUUGAAAGCUCAAAUGAAUUGACGGGGGCUCAUAGCUGUUUCC
rnacentral:rRNA from 1 species